CAGCAUGGAUGCGAAGUUACCGUAAAGGGGCAGAAAGGCAGAAAGACAAGAUGCAGAGAGAAAAAAAGAGUUGGCAAUAGAAACCUCAGCACGCUCCCUCCAGCUCCAUCCAGGAGAUCACGGGAUCGGGGCAUCCCUGUCCCGGUGGGAAGGCGCUGGCCAGUGAGGAGGUGGAUGGAGCGUUGAGACACAGAACUCUGCAAGCUGAGAACCUGUCGGCAACAGAGUUCUUCUAUAGCUGGAUGCAUCAGGCCACGUUACCCUCACAACCUGAAGAUCGGAUUUCCUGCCCUUGCUUUCCCCCACAGGUUCAGUGUCCACCAGCAGCCUUUGGGACGUGUCUGCCUUCUAUGGGGCACCAUGUUGGAGCGGGUCAGUGCCAGACUCUGCUCACGCCAGGCCGUUGGAGGGAGCCUUUUAGGCAGGGGAGCUUCCUGGAACCUAUGAAUGAUCCCCCAAAGACAACUCAACUGACUCAGAGAGUUAACUCCGAUGGUGUCGAUGAUGUAGCUAAUAACCCUUAUGCAUGCACUGGCUGAACUUCAGAGCUGUAUUCAACACAACCUUUUGAGUCCUUCUGGAAGCUGGCCCCUGUCUGGGCUACCGCUCUGAGAGCAACAGAAGAGUGAAAUUUCACUUGGAAGUGACACGGACUGCUUUUUCCAGAAGAAACCAACUGCACGACGCUUAACGAAGAAAUAGCUGCCACUCCUGGCUCCUGAUCCCUUUACUUUGAAUAUGAAUCAGGCAAUGUCUGAAGAGGAGAAAAAAUCAGAUCAGAGGAUUUUAGACUUUUUUCAGACCGACUCUCAUGAAUACCCGGACUCUCCGAAUUUUGGUGAAUUUCCUGGUUCAGCUCAGAGCUACUGAAUCAGCAGAUAUUCUCAGAGUCAGACCCUAGUGGAUGUUAAUAUGUGAAAUAAAGUCUGGUGCCAGGUA